rnacentral:rRNA from 1 species
UCAGGACGAACGCUGGCGGCGUGCUUAACACAUGCAAGUCGAGCGGAAAGGCCCCUUCGGGGGUACUCGAGCGGCGAACGGGUGAGUAACACGUGAGCAACCUGCCCCUGACUCUGGGAUAAGCCCGGGAAACUGGGUCUAAUACCGGAUAUGACCACGGGUCGCAUGGCCUUGUGGUGGAAAGUUUUUCGGUUGGGGAUGGGCUCGCGGCCUAUCAGCUUGUUGGUGGGGUGAUGGCCUACCAAGGCGACGACGGGUAACCGGCCUGAGAGGGCGACCGGUCACACUGGGACUGAGACACGGCCCAGACUCCUACGGGAGGCAGCAGUGGGGAAUAUUGCGCAAUGGGCGGAAGCCUGACGCAGCGACGCCGCGUGGGGGAUGACGGCCUUCGGGUUGUAAACCUCUUUCAGCAGGGACGAAGCUAACGUGACGGUACCUGCAGAAGAAGCGCCGGCUAACUACGUGCCAGCAGCCGCGGUAAUACGUAGGGCGCAAGCGUUGUCCGGAAUUAUUGGGCGUAAAGAGCUCGUAGGCGGUUUGUCGCGUCUGUCGUGAAAGCCCACGGCUUAACUGUGGGUCUGCGGUGGAUACGGGCAGACUAGAGGCAGGUAGGGGAGAAUGGAAUUCCCGGUGUAGCGGUGAAAUGCGCAGAUAUCGGGAGGAACACCGGUGGCGAAGGCGGUUCUCUGGGCCUGUAC